UACGGAGGGUGCAAGCGUUAAUCGGAAUUACUGGGCGUAAAGCGUGCGCAGGCGGUUUGUUAAGUCUGCUGUGAAAUCCCCGAGCUCAACUUGGGAAUUGCAGUGGAUACUGGGGAGCUAGAGUGCGGUAGAGGGUAGUGGAAUUCCCGGUGUAGCGGUGAAAUGCGUAGAGAUCGGGAGGAACACCAGUGGCGAAGGCGGCUACCUGGACCAGCACUGACACUGAGGCACGAAAGCGUGGGGAGCAAACAGG
rnacentral:rRNA from 1 species